rnacentral:rRNA from 1 species
UGGGGAAUCUUGCACAAUGGGGGCAACCCUGAUGCAGCGACGCCGCGUGAGCGAUGAAGCCCUUCGGGGCGUAAAGCUCUUUCGACCGGAACGAUAAUGACGGUACCGGGAGAAGAAGCUGCGGCUAACUACGUGCCAGCAGCCGCGGUAAUACGUAGGCAGCAAGCGUUGUUCGGAGUUACUGGGCGUAAAGAGUGCGUAGGCGGUUUUCUAAGUUCGGUGUGAAAUCUCCCGGCUUAACUGGGAGGGUGCGCCGAAGACUGGGAAGCUGGAGUGUGGGAAAGGCAGGCGGAAUUCCUGGUGUAGCGGUGAAAUGCGUAGAUAUCAGGAGGAACACGGGCGGUGUAGACGGCUUGCUAGACCAUAACUGACGCUGAGGCACGAAAGCGUGGGUAGCAAAC